UGGCUGUCGUCAGCUCGUGUCGUGAGAUGUUGGUUAGUCCGCAACGAGCGCAACCCUUGUCAUUAAUUGCCAUCAUUUAGUUGGGCACUUUAAUGAGACUGCCGGUGACAAACCGGAAGGAAGGUGGGGAUGACGUCAAGUCCUCAUGGCCCUUAUGGGUAGGGCUUCACACGUAAUACAAUGGCGCGUACAGAGGGUUGCCAACCCGCGAGGGGGAGCUAAUCUCAGAAAGCGCGUCGUAGUCCGGAUCGGAGUCUGCAACUCGACUCCGUGAAGUCGGAAUCGCUAGUAAUCGCGGAUCAGCAUGUCGCGGUGAAUACGUUCCCGGGUCUUGUACACACCGCCCGUCACACCAUGGGAGUGGGUUUCACCAGAAGCAGGUAGUCUAACCGUAAGGAGGGCGCUUGCCACGGUGAGAUUCAUGACUGGGGU
rnacentral:rRNA from 1 species